rnacentral:rRNA from 1 species
UACGUAGGGGGCUAGCGUUGUCCGGAAUCAUUGGGCGUAAAGAGCGCGUAGGCGGCCAGAUAAGUCCGGUGUGAAAGUCAAAGGCUCAACCUUUGAAUGCCGCUGGAAACUGUCUGGCUAGAGUCCGGGAGGGGCGAGUGGAAUUCCUGGUGUAGCGGUGAAAUGCGCAGAUAUCAGGAGGAACACCAAUUGCGAAGGCAGCUCGCUGGGACGUAACUGACGCUGAGACGCGAAAGCGUGGGGAGCAAACAGG